CUAGACAUUCCAGCUUAUUCCACACAAACAAAACUGGAGUUCAUAAAGUUAAAAAGAGGUAGAGAUGGCUUUAUCGGCAUCAGUGAGUCUUAGAGCUCGCGGUCUUGUCGUCUUCAUCCAGGCCAUGGUGCUCAUCUCCGUGGUGAUCAUGAGCACUGCAGCUACACCUGCCAUGGCAGCCGGCCGAUCUCCGCCGCCGUUCUUCCGCGAGGAGAAGCCACCCUAUGCACUCAAACCUGCCCCUUGCCUCCUCCCGCCAUGCCACUAGUCACUAGAACUAACUAAGCAAGCUAUAGUCCCCCUAGGUAGCAGUAAAAUAAGCCAUGGAGAAGGCAUGGGCUAUAUGAUGUGUGAAUUGUGAUGCGUGCUUGAAGAAUGAAGAUGCUAAGCAUGCUAUAUGUAUGAUAUUACGCAAUCUAUCAAAAGUUCCCGUUUAAUUAUGUGUAAAAACGGUUGUGUAUCUAUGAAAAACACGAGUUUGCCAUAUAGAAGUAUUUCAUAUAUAAAUAAGGUGUGACUAAUUCGCAGUCCACUGAAAAUUAGUGUCGUU